rnacentral:rRNA from 1 species
AUUGAACGCUGGCGGCAGGCCUAACACAUGCAAGUCGGACGGUAGCACAGAGGAGCUUGCUCCUCGGGUGACGAGUGGCGGACGGGUGAGUAAUGUCUGGGGAUCUGCCCGAUAGAGGGGGAUAACCACUGGAAACGGUGGCUAAUACCGCAUAACGUCGCAAGACCAAAGAGGGGGACCUUCGGGCCUUUCACUAUCGGAUGAACCCAGAUGGGAUUAGCUAGUAGGCGGGGUAAUGGCCCACCUAGGCGACGAUCCCUAACUGGUCUGAGAGGAUGACCAGCCACACUGGAACUGAGCCACGGUCCAGACUCCUACGGGAGGCAGCAGUGGGGAAUAUUGCACAAUGGGCGCAAGCCUGAUGCAGCCAUGCCGCGUGUAUGAAGAAGGCCUUCGGGUUGUAAAGUACUUUCAGCGGGGAGGAAGGCGAUAAGGUUAAUAACCUUGUCGAUUGACGUUACCCGCAGAAGAAGCACCGGCUAACUCCGUGCCAGCAGCCGCAGUAA